rnacentral:rRNA from 1 species
UACAGAGGUCUCAAGCGUUGUUCGGAUUCAUUGGGCGUAAAGGGUGCGUAGGCGGCGCGGUAAGUCGGGUGUGAAAUUUCGAGGCUUAACUUCGAAACUGCAUUCGAUACUGCCGUGCUUGAGGACUGGAGAGGAGACUGGAAUUUACGGUGUAGCGGUGAAAUGCGUAGAUAUCAGGAGGAACACCGGUGGCGAAGGCGGGAUCCUGGGCCAGUACUGACGCUGAGGAGCGAAAGCGUGGGGAGCAAACAGG